GAUGAACGCUGGCGGCGUGCCUAAUACAUGCAAGUCGAGCGAACAGAUAAGGAGCUUGCUCCUUUGACGUUAGCGGCGGACGGGUGAGUAACACGUGUAUAACCUACCUAUAAGACUGGGAUAACUUCGGGAAACCGGAGCUAAUACCGGAUAAGAUUUUGAACCGCAUGGUUCAAUAGUGAAAGACGGCCUUGCUGUCACUUAUAGAUGGAUCCGCGCCGUAUUAGCUAGUUGGUAAGGUAACGGCUUACCAAGGCAACGAUACGUAGCCGACCUGAGAGGGUGAUCGGCCACACUGGAACUGAGACACGGUCCAGACUACUACGGGAGGCAGCAGUAGGGAAUCUUCCGCAAUGGGCGAAAGCCUGACGGAGCAACGGCGCGUGAGUGAUGAAGGUCUUCGGAUCGUAAAACUCUGUUAUCAGGGAAGAACAAACGUGUAAGUAACUGUGCACGUCUUGACGGUACCUGAUCAGAAAGCAACGGCUAACUACGUG
rnacentral:rRNA from 1 species